AACGAACGCUGGCGGCAGGCUUAACACAUGCAAGUCGAACGCCCCGCAAGGGGAGUGGCAGACGGGUGAGUAACACGUGGGAACGUACCCUUUACUACGGAAUAACGCAUGGAAACGUGUGCUAAUACCGUAUGUGCCCUUAGGGGGAAAGAUUUAUCGGUAAAGGAUCGGCCCGCGUUGGAUUAGCUAGUUGGUGGGGUAAAGGCCUACCAAGGCGACGAUCCAUAGCUGGUCUGAGAGGAUGAUCAGCCACAUUGGGACUGAGACACGGCCCAAACUCCUACGGGAGGCAGCAGUGGGGAAUAUUGGACAAUGGGCGCAAGCCUGAUCCAGCCAUGCCGCGUGAGUGAUGAAGGCCUUAGGGUUGCAAAGCUCUUUCACCGGAGAAGAUAAUGACGGUAUCCGGAGAAGAAGCCCCGGCUAACUUCGUGCCAGCAGCCGCCGUAA
rnacentral:rRNA from 1 species